rnacentral:rRNA from 1 species
UACGGAGGGUGCGAGCGUUGUCCGGAAUCACUGGGCGUAAAGGGCGCGUAGGCGGCGUUUUUAAGUCGGGGGUGAAAGCCUGUGGCUCAACCACAGAAUGGCCUCGAUACUGGGACGCUUGAGUAUGGUAGAGGUUGGUGGAACUGCGAGUGUAGAGGUGAAAUUCGUAGAUAUUCGCAAGAACACCGGUGGCGAAGGCGGCCAACUGGACCAUUACUGACGCUGAGGCGCGAAAGCGUGGGGAGCAAACAGG